UACGGAGGGUGCAAGCGUUGCUCGGAAUUAUUGGGCGUAAAGGGUAGGUAGGUGGUCUCAUUUGUCUGGGGUGAAAUCCUUGAGCUUAACUCAAGAACUGCCCUAGAAACGGUGAGACUGGAGUCCUGGAGAGGUUCGUGGAAUUCCCGGUGUAGCGGUGAAAUGCGUAGAGAUCGGGAGGAACACCAGUGGCGAAGGCGGCUCACUGGCUCGUAUCUGACGCUCAGGCGCGAUAGCGUGGGGAUCAAACAGG
rnacentral:rRNA from 1 species